AGAUAGAGUUUUUCCCCAACACAGCACAUUGAGUAGUGCUCUGCAUCAUAGUUAAUCCAUACUUGAUUGCGUUUGACUGAAGGCCAAUUCCUAUAGUAAUUAGCUGUGGCAGGGCUGAUAUCUCUCAUCACAGAUGAACUGAACCGUAAUUAUUCAGGCAGAAAGAAAUGCUUGGGGUCGCUUUGCUUGCAGAGGUCUAUGGCAGACACUCAGAGCUUCCUGUCUAGUUUAUAUGGGUCGGAUGAUAGUAGAAACGAGUGUAUGGAGAUGGUAUAGUGGGAGGAAUUAUCUUUACCCAAAAGAGGCAUAUGAUAACUUUCUGAGUUUUAAACUUAGGAAGACUGCUGGGUCUCAAAUGGACAAGGAUUCCUACAUAUUUUGAGCUUAUCCCUAGCUUCUGCUUACAUCGAAAAGUAAAAUUUUCCCUUUUCCUCCCCUAAUGAGUCAGAAAAUAUGGUCCCAUGGCAUACGUGGGGAUUGUCGUGACUGUAUUUUAUUGUGGCUGUUAUUGGAGAUUAGAUAUCAGAGAAGGUCAACUGAUCGACUUCUCUUUUUUUCUUCCUGUAGUCAAAGAUUAUCUAAAUGAACUUGUCUGAGGUUAUCAGCAACCAAUGAAUAUUUAGUAACUCCUUUAUAUAAGUAAGAAAUAAAUAUCAGCUUCAAGAGGUCAUCUCAUGAUUUCAUCUCAUAAAGUAGCUUUGACCUAUUGGAGUGGUUCCUGGAAUAUUUUGGGUUGAAAAGGAUUCUAAGGUUUUGGUCCUUCUCAGAAGGAAAGAAUGCCCAUAAUGAUUAGUGACGAAUACUUGAAGACAGGAGGGAGGGAAAGCACCAUGCAUGUGGUACUCAUCAACCUUCUUAUACCCCUCGCGUGAUUGUCAAUAGGCACACUCUCCUCCAUACCACAUCCCAAUUCACGAGAUCUAAAACUUGGAGAUGUUAUGGAAGCCUGAUUUUUUUUUCUUUUUUUUUUUAAGACAGAGUCUCUCUCCGUCACCAGGUUGGAGUGCAAUGGCAUGAUCUCGACUCAUUGCAAUCUUCGCCUCCCAGGUUCAAGCAAUUCUCCUGCCUCAGCAUCCUGAGUAGCUGGGGCUACAGGCUGGAGUGCAGUGGCACGAUCUAGGUUCACUGCAAGCUCCGACUCCCAGGUUCAUGCCAUUCUCCUGCUUCAGCCUCCCGAGUAGUUGGGACUACAGAGUCUAGCUCUGUCACCCAGGCUGGAGUGCAGUGACACAUUCUCAGCUCACCGCAACCUCCGCCUCCCAGGUUCAAGCGAUUCGCAUGUCUCAGCCUCCUAAGGAGCUGGUAUUGCAAGUGUGCACCAAUACACCCAGCUCAUUUUUGUAUUUUUAGUAGAGACAGGAUUUGCCGUGUUGGCCAGGCUGGUCUCAAACUCCUUACCUCAAAGUGAGCUGCCUGCCUUGGCCUCCCAAAGUGCUGGGAUUACAGGUAUGAGCCACUGCACCUGGCCAUGGGUGUCUGACUUCUUUUGCUUUAUUCCCACUCAAGUCUGUGUUAUUGACAAAGCCUUUUCAAAAUCUCUCCUUUUUAUUCCUCUAGCUCUAACCUUGGUCCAGACACCAGCUGUAUAGACUAUCAAAGCUGCUGUCAUUUAGAGGGGAAUAGUAAGUAUAGUCCAGGGGAUGUCAAUUGGAAGCCCAGAAAAAGUCCCACAGUUAGCAGAUCCCUGGGACUCUCACCAUAUCAAGAUUUAGUCCCCCUCAGCCUUCCAGGUCUAAAAACUCAAUAAUGUCAGUGCCCCAAAUUGGACAUAAAGGGAAAUAAGUUAUAUGAGUCAAGUCAUCGGAGACUGAUAUAUAAAGCAUUACAGUAAAAUAUUUACCAGCCUUGCAGAAAACUGUAAAGUCCCCUGAGCUACACAUUUGUCCCUGGUAUGGACUCUCCUGGCAAGUCAGUACAUGGUCAGAAGAGGUUCUGGUGAGCCUGAAACUGAAGUCGUAAGCUAGUUGUGUGAUCCAAAGGGAAUCAAGCCAUGAUGGCCCAUCUCCACCCAGACUAUCUUAUCUCCACUUGCCCUGGGUUGUUCUGGGUGAGCACUGCCAUGCUCCAACCUUUGCUGGCCAUCAUGCUGAUGAUGCACCCUCGUUAGCAUGCUGUUUAAUGGCAUUGACAUCACUUGGCUACUUUGGAGCUACUCCAUUCACUUUGAUUUGAACAACUGCCUUGUAAUAUGGAGUGCUGAGUUUUAUUAGCUGAACACUUGCAGGUUUGGGGGUCCCCCACUCUCAUGCCCACCUUGCCCGUUUGCUGACUGCUUAGCCAGCCUCACCACCUCCAGAAAAGCCCUUCCACAGACAGUGUCUCAGGAAGUCCUCACAAUGUGCUUGGGGAGCAGGUAAAGCAUGGCUUACCACUCCUAUUUUACACAGUAGGGAGCCAAGGCUCAAAAAAAAAACAACAACAACAAAAAAAACAAGUUAUCCAAAUUGUCAUAGUUUUGCUGCAGCUUAUGUGUCCCAGGGCCAGGCCUGGGACUGUGUCUCCUGACUUAGGGGCCCAUGUUUUUCCUGCUACCUGCCUCCCUGUUCUUUCUCCAUUAAAGUUGCCAAGAUAAAAGUUCCUACUCGCCGCUCAGAGUGAACUUCCUAACAAUGGGUUUUCAGGCUGCCACCUGGCAUCUGACUCCCAGCUCCCUAUUCCCCUGAUUUUCCUUUCUGCUCAGUAGGCAAACCCUGCUCCUGUUCCCGCUUGCCUCUUUGCUUCAGCCCCUGCCUUGGCAGUGCUAAGCACAGAAAAAACAAGUUCAGGGUGUGCUUCUGGGUCCCGUUUGAGUGCCCUUCCCCAAGCUUCACGGGAUAUCAGUUUGGCAGGUCACCUUCUGCUGGCACAGGGCUCGGGGACCUUGAGAUGGCGAGGGGCGGGGGAGGGAUGACCAACUGAGAACUGAAUAUUUUCAAUGCAUGUUUGACUCUCAUUUCCAUUCAAGGCUCCUCAUUAGGCCACAGAUGCACCGCGGACCUGUUCUUCCUUUUGGGUUGGCAGGCGCAAAGCCCCAUUAGCAGUAAUGUGCACCAGUGGGACUCCAGGGAGAGGAAGAAAGCUGAAAGGGCUGGAGUUCCUGGUCCAAUUUUUAAAGAAAACAAGAGAAUAAAAGGCCCAUAAAACUCAGAAACACUUCUUCCCUUGGCUCAUUCACAUGGAAAUGCAAGUCUGAUGAUCAUGGACAAGGAGGUGAUGGCUCCAGGAGCAGGGGUCAGGGUGACCUCCAGCUCCUCAACUCCAGCCCUGUGUGCACCAGCAAGGUUCACCCCCAAGCCACCAGUGCCAAAUGGAAAAACUUUAUUGUCAUGUCUUUGAACACUUGGCAGGAAGUACCACGGGUGUUCCAAUUAUUAAACUAAUAAGCACUCGACCUUGGUCAGCCCACUUUCUGGUGCACGUACUCCUAAGAGUUGGAUGCAGGGAAAAUUCCCGAUCAUGCAUGAGGUGCCCCUUUGAUUGCUAUAUUCACGAUAUGGGGCAGAAUGAGGAUAGCAGUAAUGACUUUGGCAGUGGCUCUCCAAGAUUCUUCCGAAGGGCUGUGCGUGCAGGUAGGGUGAGCUCAGGCCCGGGAGGUGCCUGGGAUAAUACUAGGAAAGGAAGCUUUAGAUCUUGUUUCUUGAAGCCUAAAGAAACAGAUAUUGAAACGAGAUCCAUGUUUUGCAACCUAGCCUCUUAGUGACAGACGUAGAGAGAGUAGUACUGCCUUUGUUGCAUCAUUCCGCUUGUUACUUAACCUGUGAGGACACCUGCCCUGAGCAGAGCAUUACAGAUGACGCACAGAAAAAUGCCAACCCUGGUUCCACUGGCACAAGCUUCACCUUCAUUCACUGGAGCCUCAGCCCAUAGCCACCCAGGGAGGCAGGCAGGGUGGUGUUAACCUUCCCAUCUCACAAAUGAGAAAACUGAAUUGGCAUAUAAA
rnacentral:lncRNA from 10 species